rnacentral:rRNA from 1 species
AAGCUCGUAGUUGAACCUUGGACCUGGCUGAUCUGUCCUCCUAAUCGAGCGUACGGAUUCGGUCGGGUCUUUCCUUCUGGGGAACCCUAUGUCCUUCAUUGGGUGUAGUGGGGAACCAGGACUUUUACCUUGAAAAAAUUAGAGUGUUCAAAGCAGGCCUUUGCUCGAAUACAUUAGCAUGGAAUAAUAGAAUAGGACAUCGGUUCUAUUUUGUUGGUUUCUAGGACCGCUGUAAUGAUUAAUAGGGAUAGUCGGGGGCGUCCGUAUUCAAUUGUCAGAGGUGAAAUUCUUGGAUUUAUUGAAGACGAACUACUGCGAAAGCAUUCGCCAAGGAUGUUUUCAUUAAUCAGUGAACGAAAGUUAGGGGAUCGAAGACGAUCAGAUACCGUCGUAGUCUUAACCAUAAACUAUGCCGACUAGGGAUCUGACGGUGGUUUUUUUAUGCCCCGUUCGGCACCU